AUUGAACGCUGGCGGCAGGCCUAACACAUGCAAGUCGAACGGUAGCACAGAGAGCUUGCUCUCGGGUGACGAGUGGCGGACGGGUGAGUAACGUCUGGGAAACUGCCCGAUGGAGGGGGAUAACUACUGGAAACGGUAGCUAAUACCGCAUAACAUCGCAAGACCAAAGUGGGGGGCCUUCGGGCCUCACACCAUCGGAUGGGCCCAGAUGGGGUUAGCUAGUAGGUGGGGUAAUGGCUCACCUAGGCGACGAUCCCUAGCUGGUCUGGGAGGAUGACCAGCCACACUGGAACUGAGACACGGUCCAGACUCCUACGGGAGGCAGCAGUGGGGAAUAUUGCACAAUGGGCGCAAGCCUGAUGCAGCCAUGCCGCGUGUAUGAAGAAGGCCUUCGGGUUGUAAAGUACUUUCAGCGGGGAGGAAGGCGGUGAAGUUAAUAGCUUCACCGAUUGACGUUACCCGCAGAAGAAGCACCGGCUAACUCCGUGCCAGCCGCCGCGGUAA
rnacentral:rRNA from 1 species